AUGCUGCCCAUGGAAGCCGGGCCAAGCUCCGAUGAGGAGGAGACGGUCGUCCUCUCCGAUUGGGAGAUGGAGAAGGAGGAAGAGGAGGAGACCGACGUCUUCACCGAUUGGGCGAUGGAGGAGGCCGCCGUCUUCCCCGACUGGGCGAUGCUGGAUCGCAUGGGCCGCACCCGCUGCCACAAGGACCUAGACGCUGCUCGUCUGGUUGUCAGCAAGAACAAGACCGCCGCUCGCCUCCGCAUUGACCGCGGCCUUUCCUUGUACGUGUCCUUCACCCUCGCGGCUCCGGGUGGGGUCUCCUACCUCAACCUCCACUGGCCGUCGGUGGGAGAAGGAUCCGACGCCGCCUGUUCCUUCGUCCGGGCAACCGACAAAGACCUCGUCCUGUUCGACAUCGACGUCCCGACCCGGGUUCCCUACUUCGGCGCCCCGCCAGAUCUGUUCGUCUACACGGCCGCCGGUCCUUCCCCCUCGGUGCAGCAGCUCCCUAUGUAUGCCGAGGAGAGGGGGAAAUGGCGGCGGUUCCUGAAGGGUCAAUUCACCACAGGCAUCUUGCGGCUCUCGGAGAAGCGCUACAUCGUCGCCGACCUCUGUGUCCUCGACGGCGCACUCUGCGUCUUCAACUCCUCCUCUGAGGCCAAAGAGUGGAAGGUCAUCCCCAUUACGCCUGGCCUGAUACGUUGGCACACGCCGGAGCAGAACCAGAGCAGCAGUGGUCAGCUCCCCAACCAAUGGUCAACUGACGAUGUGCUCGCUUUCGACGGCCGUUUCCUGUGCUGGGUCGACUACUUCAGCGGUGUCCUACUAGCUGACUUCUCUUCCGCUCUAGGUUCCCCGGCGCUCCACUUCGUGCCGUUCCCUGGAGAAAAGGAAUACCCUGCAGAGGUACGGGUCCCAAGGGAGUUCCCGGGGAGGUUCCGGAAUGUGUCCAUCAGCCAAGGCAAGAUGCGCUUUGUCCACAUUGACAAUGACUUCCAUGAGACAAUCGAGGAUGACUGGCCAUGGCGUCAUCUUCCCGAGAGAAGAAGCCAAGGGCAGCAGCAUCAGGGUCCCCCAAAAAUCACCAUAUGGACUUUGAACUCCGACAAGUUCAAGUGGGAGCAACAUGGCGUGAUCAACCUGGAUUGUCUAUGGGCGCAACGUGGUUACGAAGCUCUGGGCAUACGACAACGUCUUCCCGAGUUCCCAAUCGUCAGCGUCGACGACCCAGAUGUUCUUUGCUGCCUGUUAAGGGAGGAGGAAUUUAAUGGCAAGGGGUGGAUGAUCAUGGUUGACAUGAAGCAUGCAUAUCUGCGGUCAUCUACUCCAUAUAUCAAUCGACAUUCCUACUGUGCUAAGUGUGCGGAUGUGGGUUGUGCUGAGUGUGUGGAUGCCAGAAACGAUUUUCCUAAUACGCUCCUACUUCCAACUGUCUUCUCCAAACACCUUGAAAGGCCAACAGGUAGCUAG
rnacentral:rRNA from 1 species